rnacentral:rRNA from 1 species
GGCCGAGCACUCUAAAUAGACUGCCUUCGUAAGGAGGAGGAAGGUGUGGACGACGUCAAGUCAUCAUGGCCCUUAUGCCCAGGGCGACACACGUGCUACAAUGGCAUAUACAAUGAGACGCAAUACCGCGAGGUGGAGCAAAUCUAUAAAAUAUGUCCCAGUUCGGAUUGUUCUCUGCAACUCGAGAGCAUGAAGCCGGAAUCGCUAGUAAUCGUAGAUCAGCCAUGCUACGGUGAAUACGUUCCCGGGUCUUGUACUCACCGCCCGUCACACCAUGGGAGUUGAUUUCACUCGAAGCCGGAAUACUAAACUAGUUACCGUCCACAGUGGAAUCAGCGACUGGGGUGAAGUCGUAACAAGGUAACCGUAGGAGAACCUGCGGUUGGAUCACCUCCUUUCUAG